UCACCGAAAUACUUGUAUCAUUAUUAAAUGUUGCCUAUACAUUAUUUCACUAGAAACCAAUCUGAAAAUAAGGUGAUGGUUGUGUUUGUGUACCGCAGGAGGUGGAGUUAAUCAGGAGCAUCCAGGCUCUGUUGAAGAGAACGCUGAGUCAGGCUGUCAAUCAAAUCAAGAACAGAACGUACAUAAACCAAAAAUCAACUCGCUGAUGGGACGUUCCAUUAUAAGGAGAGUGGCCAGCUCCAAGGCAAGUCUGCAAACCGUCAAGUUUUACAUUUCCACAAUAAUGUUAACGUUAAAUAUAAGCAUUAUUUUAUCAAUAACAGUAUACAAUAUCAAUGUAUAACUGUACUUCGCUAUUUUAAACUCGUCAAAGGGAAAAAGAGUUCCACUGGGGUGAACAGAGGGUGGGCAUUUCCCAACUCCCUUCCGGAACCGUAUUUUAACCCCGGGAUUCAGGUCGGACCUCCUUUAUCAGCACACCGUGGCAUCCAUCACUGCUGAGGAAUAGAGAUACAGAGCUGUGAAACCCUGUCUGCAGAUGAAGAGCAAUGGUUCCCAGUCCUGUUCCUGGGGUCUCAAAGGGAUGCCUUGCAACUGGAGAUUUCUUAAACAAUUGCCUACAGUUACUGUGUAGGGCACUGCACAGUUGGGUGACCACGGCCAUCUGGGACUGCCUCGUGGGGGAUUUCAGGCAUCUGUGAAGACUACCUGUGUCCUGCAUAACUUCAUGAUGAUGAACAGGAGGGGACCUGCAGCGCUCCGCCGUGUGCCAGAAAAGAGGUCUGCUGCUCUGCAGGAUGUUGCCAGGAUGGGGGCCAACAACGCGCACAGGAGGCAAUCUGUGUGCAGGAGACCUUCACCUCCUACUUCUUCGCAAAUGAUGCUGUUCCCUGGCAACACCAUAGACCACACUAUGCACAACCAAAGGCUCUUUUAAGAGCCAUCCACAUUGCAAUAAGAGUAUUCUUCAAUUUACUUAGCUAUGUCAACUGAAGUUAUUCAUUUCAGUUCCUGUGAUUUCUACUUCGCCGGUGAGGGUGCUGUUUAGGUAGGUGUGGUGUCUGUACAAAUACAAAACAGGCUCUUUUAAGAGUCACCCAUAUUGAAAACAUUUAGAACAAUUAGACACCCUAUAAGCCACACCUACACACUUGUCUAUCAAUCUGAUUUAUGUGUUGUGUAGGAAGCAGGCUCCGGUGUAUAACUGUGGCUCCUUCCACCUUCAAAAAAUAGACAAGAGGACAUACCAUGGAGAAUACUGUGUCGGUGAACUCCCAUGUCUGAACUGGCUCCAUAGAGGGCACAGCAUGAUCAGAGGUAUGUUUUGAUGUGAGAGAGUAUGCCAACGGCCAGACCCAUCAUCGCCACCUCACCCGCUGUUACAAUAACCUUCAGGCCACCUCUAGAGACACUUAUGUAAAACAUUUCACGUUCUCUACUGGUUGAAGUCUCUCAUUUGAUGAAAUACCACACCUAUCCUUUCCUCAAAUCAGUGCAGAUGAAGGAAAUUGGAUAGAUGAACCUAUUUACAUGAUGCAUAGGAAGUGUAAUGUACUGUGUUUUUAAAAAUUCUGUUUCUGUAUAUAUGAAUUACAAAUCAGCCUUUUAACUAGUUAAAUCAUGUUUCUAGUCUAUUGCAUAGUUAAUAUGUAACCAAGCAUUGAUGUCCCAGGACCAAGAUUGGUAAACACUGUUGAAGUG